CGCGUGAAACGGGUGUCGUAUCAAGUAGGACCCCUGGGACGCUUGACAACAAACAUGGCGUCAUCGACGUCCACCUCGUCGCAAAGGAAACUUUUAGGCUUAGCGGCGCUGGUUUUUACACUUCUGGUUGCAGCUCAAGGUCAACAGCCAAGUGACGUCGGUGGCAGCCCGCAGAAUACCGGACCCAUCAUGGGCGGUGGUCCAAAUUCACCGUUUCAACUACC
rnacentral:lncRNA from 1 species